AAGCGCUUGUGACCAGACUUGGGCUUGGUUGAUCAUCCGGGGUUCUCCCCGGUGCACUCUUCCGGCUCAGGCCAGCAUCAGUUCGCCCUGGGGGACAAAGGCUUCGGGAAUGUGGCUCUCUCCGGGGAGUGUUAUAGCCCGCUGCGUAAUACCCUGUGGCGGACUGAGGUUCGCGCAUUCGCAAGGAUGCUGGCGUAAUGGUCAUCAGUGA
rnacentral:rRNA from 1 species